AAAUUAAAGAUUUAACUCGUAUUGAAAUGGUGGAUUAAUUAUAUUUUACUUUUUUAUUAAUGUUGAUUCAAAAACCCGUCCCUUCAAAUCCGUCUUGCCAAAAAGCAAUUUAUUUUAUUAAUAUUAAUUUUAUUAAUGAUAUGACUCUGAAUUAUAAUCUAAAUAUUUUAGCUAAUAACAUAGAAGUGCACCAUAUUUAUUUAAUAGGAGAAUGUACCAUAUGACCCGAAUGCACUUUUACCCCAAUCCACCAAAAAAACAAAUAUAUUAGUUAGCUUAAAUUAGUUAAAGAAUACAAAUUGAAAAAGUAUAUUACACUUUAUUCGAAUAUAGUAUCAAAACUUAUAUAACACAGAGAUUUGAUAAUUUUUUAAUUGUUGAAUACUUUUUUUUUGCUAAUUUUUAUGUGAUUAAGAUUUAAUUAAUUUCGUAUAUAAAAUCUUAAAUUGUUUUACGAACUUAUUUGUUUAUAAUUUGGUAAAAGAUAGAUAUUAGAAUAUUCAGUAUAUUUUGCUUCAGUUUAGGAAAUGUUUGAUGACCCGUCUUUAGAUCCAAUAAGCCCUAUAAUCUAGAUAUUAACCUGCAGUAUACCGCAGGUAGGCUUAUAUUUUAGUUAAACUAAAAACCUUUAUUGUAAAGAUGAUUUAAAAAUAUAUGAUAUUAUUUUAUUUGAUUUUAAAUGUAUAGUAAACUGUGAGUUGUAUAUGUUUUGUUGAUAUUAUCUAUAUUGUUUAGUAUUUAAGAUUAUACACUUGUAGUUUGAUUGUUAAUUUAAGAGUUUCACCUGUAGUAUACCAUCUUGUAUUAAUAUCGAUCUAAACCCGUCAAUUUUAUGAUUUUCCAGCUUGUUAAAAAUUGAAUCACAUCAUACACAUAAAAAAUCUAAUAUGUUAUUGUAGUAUAUAAGAUUAUAAAUUUUCAAUAUAAUAUGUAUGAAAUUGAAUAUAAAUAUUUCAAAUUGUGACCUGUUACUCAGUAGAAAGUUUUCUUAAAUCUAUUUUCACCCGUUAUAAUAUUUUUUCAUGUAUUGAACAGUUUAUAUUCGUUUUUAAAAAUUCAAAUUAUGGCAUAUGCGAAAAAACUCUAAUUUUUUUUAUAAUGAUGAUAUUAUUUUUUCGCAAAAAUAGAAUCAUAUAAAGAUGAGAAGUGAACUAUAAUAAUUAAUAAAAAAUUAAUAUAAUAAUUUAGAUAUCAAAUCUAAUUUGUUAAUUUUAAUUGU
rnacentral:sRNA from 1 species